rnacentral:rRNA from 4 species
GUUGCCAGCGAUUAGGUCGGGAACUCAAAGGAGACUGCCAGUGAUAAACUGGAGGAAGGUGGGGAUGACGUCAAGUCAUCAUGGCCCUUACGACCAGGGCUACACACGUGCUACAAUGGCGCAUACAAAGAGAAGCGACCUCGCGAGAGCAAGCGGACCUCAUAAAGUGCGUCGUAGUCCGGAUUGGAGUCUGCAACUCGACUCCAUGAAGUCGGAAUCGCUAGUAAUCGUGGAUCAGAAUGCCACGGUGAAUACGUUCCCGGGCCUUGUACACACCGCCCGUCACACCAUGGGAGUGGGUUGCAAAAGAAGUAGGUAGCUUAACCUUCGGGAGGGCGCUUACCACUUUGUGAUUCAUGACUGGGGUGAAGUCGUAACAAGGUAACCGUAGGGGAACCUGCGGUUGGAUCACCUCCUUACCUUAAAGAAGC